rnacentral:rRNA from 1 species
AUUGAACGCUGGCGGCAGGCCUAACACAUGCAAGUCGAGCGGAAACGAGUUAACUGACCCUUCGGGUGACGUUAACGGCGUCGAGCGGCGGACGGGUGAGUAAUGCCUGGGAAAUUGCCCUGAUGUGGGGGAUAACCAUUGGAAACGAUGGCUAAUACCGCAUAAUGCCUUCGGGCCAAAGAGGGGGACCUUCGGGCCUCUCGCGUCAGGAUAUGCCCAGGUGGGAUUAGCUAGUUGGUGAGGUAAUGGCUCACCAAGGCGACGAUCCCUAGCUGGUCUGAGAGGAUGAUCAGCCACACUGGAACUGAGACACGGUCCAGACUCCUACGGGAGGCAGCAGUGGGGAAUAUUGCACAAUGGGCGCAAGCCUGAUGCAGCCAUGCCGCGUGUGUGAAGAAGGCCUUCGGGUUGUAAAGCACUUUCAGCAGUGAGGAAGGCGGGUACGUUAAUAGCGUGCUCGUUUGACGUUAGCUGCAGAA